AACGAACGCUGGCGGCAGGCCUAACACAUGCAAGUCGAACGCUCCGCAAGGGGAGUGGCGCACGGGUGAGUAACGCGUGGGAAUAUGCCCUUCGGUUCGGAAUAACACAGGGAAACUUGUGCUAAUACCGGAUACGAUCUACGGAUGAAAGAUUUAUCGCCGAGGGAGUAGCCCGCGUAGGAUUAGCUAGUUGGUGAGGUAAUGGCUCACCAAGGCGACGAUCCUUAGCUGGUCUGAGAGGAUGAUCAGCUACACUGGGACUGAGACACGGCCCAGACUCCUACGGGAGGCAGCAGUGGGGAAUAUUGGACAAUGGGCGAAAGCCUGAUCCAGCCAUGCCGCGUGAGUGAUGAAGGCCUUAGGGUUGUAAAGCUCUUUCGCCAGGGAAGAUAAUGACGGUACCUGGAAAAGAAGCCUCGGCCAACUCCGUGCCAGCCGCCGCGGUAA
rnacentral:rRNA from 1 species